rnacentral:rRNA from 1 species
AUUGAACGCUGGCGGCAGGCUUAACACAUGCAAGUCGAACGAGUGGCGGACGGGUGAGUAAUGUCUGGGAAUCUGGCUGAUGGAGGGGGAUAACUACUGGAAACUGUAGCUAAUACCGCGUACCAUCGGAUGUGCCCAAGUGGGAUUAGCUAGUUGGUGGGGUAAAGGCUCACCAAGGCGACGAUCCCUAGCUGGUCUGAGAGGAUGACCAGCCACACUGGGACUGAGACACGGCCCAGACUCCUACGGGAGGCAGCAGUGGGGAAUAUUGCACAAUGGGGGCAACCCUGAUGCAGCCAUGCCGCGUGAAUGAAGAAGGCCUUCGGGUUGUAAAGUACUUUCGGUAGCGAGGCGUUAACCGCAGAAGAAGCACCGGCUAACUCCGUGCCAGCAGCCGCGGUAAUAC